rnacentral:lncRNA from 1 species
CAGGGAACGGGGCCACGCGCUGCUCAGGAGGAGGGCGGCUCCGCAACGGCAGCUUCAGCCCCGGACACCGGGAGGGAACGCAAGGGCCCCACGGGGCCCCGCAGCCUCAGGAGAUGGGGACGGAGAGGGCUCCAGUGAGGCUCAGGGCGCCCCUCUUUCACAGAGCUCCAACGCUCCCCUGUGCCGGAUCUGAGCCGGGAAAGAUUCAGAUGACCUCACCGAGGCCGCACAUGAGGCUCCAAGCUGAAUCAGAAAGUGUGCUGAGGUUUUGUGCCCGUUUAAUCCUGUGGGGUGGAGACACUGUUUUGGAGUGGGGCUGAGCGUCACCAGAGUAACAUUUCUGGGGCAGAAAUCAG